rnacentral:rRNA from 1 species
UACGUAGGGCGCAAGCGUUGUCCGGAAUUAUUGGGCGUAAAGAGCUCGUAGGCGGCUUGUCACGUCGGGUGUGAAAGCCCGGGGCUUAACCCCGGGUCUGCAUUCGAUACGGGCUGGCUGGAGUGUGGUAGGGGAGAUCGGAAUUCCUGGUGUAGCGGUGAAAUGCGCAGAUAUCAGGAGGAACACCGGUGGCGAAGGCGGAUCUCUGGGCCAUUACCGACGCUGAGGAGCGAAAGCGUGGGGAGCGAACAGG